UACGAGGGGGGGCAAGCGUUGUUCGGAAUUAUUGGGCGUAAAGGGCGCGUAGGCGGUGCGGUAAGUCACCUGUGAAAACUCUGGGCUCAACUCAGAGCCUGCAGGCGAAAACUGCCGUGCUUUGAGUGUGGGAGAGGUGCGUGGAAUUCCCGGUGUAGCGGUGAAAUGCGUAGAUAUCGGGGAGGAACACCUGUGGCGAAAGCGGCGCACUGGACCACAACUGACGCUGAGGCGCGAAAGCUAGGGGAGCAAACAGG
rnacentral:rRNA from 1 species